rnacentral:snRNA from 1 species
GAAAAUUAUCUCUUUUAGUAUUUGUCCAGUAGGUGUCCUCAAGGAGAUAGCCCCC